GAUGAAGAACGUAGCGAAAUGCGAUACGUAAUGUGAAUUGCAGAAUUCAGUGAAUCAUCGAAUUUUUGAACGCACAUUGCGCCCGCCAGCACUCUGGCGGGCAUGCCUGUUCGAGCGUCAUUUCAACCAUCAAGCCCCAGGCUUGCGUUGGAGCCCUGCGGCUGCCGCAGCCUCCUAAAAGCAGUGGCGGGCUCGCUAUCACACCGAGUGCAGUAGAUUACUCUUCGCUCAGGGCGUGCAGCGGGUUCCGGCCGUGAACCCCCCUACUUUUAAAGGUUGACCUCGGAUCAGGUAGGAAUACCCGCUGAACUUAAGCAUAUCAAUAAGCGGAGGA
rnacentral:misc_RNA from 1 species